rnacentral:lncRNA from 1 species
CCAUGCUCCUCCUUGGCGUCCUUGCUUAGCCGCUACUCCUUGCAGGCUGCAGUGGCAGCAAUUUUUUUUGAAUUUGUUUUCCCUUAAAUGUACUCAUAGCCGUUCCCAUAUGAACGCUUUAUUUUGUGAAAUCGAAAGAGAUGUUUUAGUAAAGCUUCAAAAACUGAUUAUGUGAUGGACAGUGAAACCGUUCAAGAGAAUACUGGCCAUACCAGUUCAGUGAUACCUGAUGAUCAGAUGCCAUUCAUCCUGUGAGAGUUCUCUCAAACCAGGUUGAUAGCAAGGUUGAUAGUCAAAUAGUUGAAGAGAACGUGCCAGUUCAGUGAUCUCUUGCUGCAGCCAUCCAUCCUGUGACAGUUCUCUUAUACCGGGUUGAUAUUCAAAUAGAUGAAGAUAAUACUGGCCAUACCAGUUUCAGUGAUAACUGAUGAUCAGAUGCCAUUCAUCCUGUGAGAGUUCUCUCAAACCAGGUUGAUAGCAAGGUUGAUAGUCAAAUAGUUGAAGAGAACGUGCCAGUUCAGUGAUCUCUUGCUGCAGAUGCCAUUAGUCAUGUGACAAUUCUUUCAAACGUACCAAGUUGAUAGUCAAAUAGAAGAAGAGAAUACUGGCCGUGCCAGUUCAGUGAUCUCUUGCUGCAGCCAUCCAUCCUGUGACAGUUCUCUUAUACCGGGUUGAUAUUCAAAUAGAUGAAGAUAAUACUGGCCAUACCAGUUUCAGUGAUAACUGAUGAUCAGAUGCCAUUCAUCCUGUGAGAGUUCUCUCAAACCAGGUUGAUAGCAAGGUUGAUAGUCAAAUAGUUGAAGAGAACGUGCCAGUUCAGUGAUCUCUGCUGCUGAUGCCAUUAGUCAUGUGACAAUUCU